rnacentral:rRNA from 1 species
UACGUAGGGUGCGAGCGUUGUCCGGAAUUAUUGGGCGUAAAGAGCUCGUAGGCGGCCUGUCGCGUCGGUUGUGAAAGCCCGGGGCUUAACCCCGGGUCUGCAGUCGAUACGGGCGGACUAGAGGUAGGUAGGGGAGAACGGAAUUCCUGGUGUAGCGGUGGAAUGCGCAGAUAUCAGGAGGAACACCGGUGGCGAAGGCGGUUCUCUGGGCCUUACCUGACGCUGAGGAGCGAAAGCGUGGGGAGCGAACAGG